rnacentral:rRNA from 1 species
UACGUAGGGGCUAGCGUUAUCCGGAAUUACUGGGCGUAAAGGGUGCGUAGGUGGUUUCUUAAGUCAGAGGUGAAAGGCUACGGCUCAACCGUAGUAAGCCUUUGAAACUGGGAAACUUGAGUGCAGGAGAGGAGAGUGGAAUUCCUAGUGUAGCGGUGAAAUGCGUAGAUAUUAGGAGGAACACCAGUUGCGAAGGCGGCUCUCUGGACUGUAACUGACACUGAGGCACGAAAGCGUGGGGAGCAAACAGGAUUAGAUACCCCCGUAGUCCCUGAGCGGGCU